CUCUUAGGUUUACACUGAGUGGCUGGACUGGUUACAGGGGCUCUUACUCCCAUACUUUCUUAAUUAGUUUGAUUUGAAAGCAGCUGGUUGUUGUGGGGAGUUAUUUUCUGUACUUAGUCUCCAUGAUGUGUUGUAUUUGCCCCCAGCCUUUAUGCUACUCGUGAAUUUGUCAAUCAAUGCUGCGAGACGAAUUGGUACCUAGAUGUGAUUCAGUUGCGCUGUGGGUUUGUUCCUCCGUUGUGCUACAACUGUGAUCCUACAGAGACAUGCGAUGUGUUAAACUGUUGAUUACCAUCUGAUUCAGUUGUUUCCCUAUUUGCGUUAAGAACUAUUCACUAGUGCUGAAUCCAUUGAACUGUCUAAUACUUAAUCCACUUAUUCCAAAAUUAGUCAUGUGAAUUCUUGUCUUAAUAAUAGGAAAAAAAAUAUGCCAAAUUUUCCCAUGAAGAAUCUGGACUGUGCUUCCUAUAGACCUACCAUUAUUUCUGCUCCAUGCUAGUGGUAUUUAUGCGUGCCUGGUUAUCUAACUGUAAAGAAGUUUGUUAUGGUAUUGUCCAGUGUGAAUAUUUAAUUUAACUUUCUAUUUGCUAUGAUGGAGUACUUACUACUUAAUGUUGGUCCAGUUUUCUAGUUAUGUACUUACCGAAAUUUUGGAGAUACCUAGCCUGUUUCUGUAUGCUUUGCAUUGUUGAUUAAUGUUCCAAAUGUGUCAAUUAGUUUCAGUUUCCACAUUAGUUAGAAUGUCUAUAGUUGAUCAGCUUAGUUUGUACCAGUUAACGUACAAUAAUAUCUUGGAGCAGAUGAAUUGAUAGGAAGGUUUGUCUUCUCUGAUACUUUUGGUUAAGGUAACUAUAGCAUCUGUAUCUGAUAAUGAAUUGUGGGGAGGUUUGUCUUCUGGUUAAGGUGGUAGAUCUAUAGUUGUUAAUGGAUUGUGGGAAGGUUUGUCUUCUCUGGUACUUUUGGUUAAAGUGGAGUGUCUAUAACUCAUAUGCAUACAUGUGAGCUCAAAAAAAUCAAUUAAGUGGGAACUUCUCUGCACCCUCUGUCUGCUAGAACAAUUUGUGUUGCUUUUCUGGGGUUUCAUCUUGUGAUCUAUCACAGUUAUUGAGCCCUAAGGGUGACUAUGAUGACCAAUUGGCCCUCACAGAUGAGGUGCAACCUUGCAAGUACAUUAAAUCAUCCCUUUUUGGCUGCUCAUUUGUACCCAACCAAUUCGUGAAUAGCAUGCAUGCAUAUACCACUUCCAGAUUGUUUAGUUGUUGAUGAAAUGUGUCUGGUUGUUUGACUUUACUUUCUGUAUUUGACAAGUUUGCUACCAAAAAAGACCCUUAUUUCUUUAUCCCAAUUCCAAUUUUCAGGGGCUAUAAAAGGUUCUUUCGGCGUACUGCUCUUGAGACAUCAGAUUUUCUUAAAGAUGAUUGCUUGAAGAUAAACUGUACUGUGGGUGUUGUAGUAUCAACUAUGGACUAUUCUAGACCACACUCGAUAGAGGUUCCAGAGUCUGACAUAGGCUAUCAUUUUGGAACGCUUUUGGACACUCAGGAAGGUGUAGAUGUUAUUUUUAGAGUAGCAGGAGAGGAGUUUCAUGCCCACAAGUUGGUAUUGGCUGCCCGAUCUUCCUUUUUUAGGUCUGAGUUUUUCGAUCAUGAAUCAGAUGAAGAAAAGAAUGAAGCUGAGACGAGGAAUGAAAUCAAAGAGAUUGUCAUUGAUGACAUGGAUCCUAAAGUGUUCAAGGUAUGUUUCUAUUUUUGUACAGUCUCAUAUCCCAUUUCAUUUUUGAACAAACUUUGGGAUUUUGUAUUCAUCUGUGCAAAUAUUCUCUGUUGCAGGCUGUGCUUCAUUUUAUGUACAGGGACAAUCUUGUUAAUGAUGAUGAGUUAUCCGCAUCAAGCUCUGACUGCUCUAUCUUUGAUACUUUAGCUGGGAAGUUAAUGGCUGCAGCAGACAAAUAUGAGUUGCCAAGGCUAAGAUUGUUGUGUGAGUCUUACUUGUGCAAGCAUAUUUCUGUAAACUCUGUGGCAACUACUCUAGCAUUGGCUGACCAGCACCAUGCUAUGGAGCUUAAAUCUGUUUGCCUUAAAUUUGCUGCUGAAAACCUUUCAGGUAAUAAGACUUCACAUAAAAAUCUUUUCAACCUUCGUGGCUUCAUGCAUCAUACAUAGAUAUAUUCCUGAUUGACAUCUUCAAUAAAAUUUUGAUCUGUGAUUUAUAGCUUUACAUAAUCACAAAUGGCUCUGCAAUGCUUAGUUUUUUAUUCUAUAAAUAAAAUAAGUACGUGUUAGGUGUUCUCUUGUUUAGAUGUCAGACAAUUCCCAGUUUGCUCCAAGGAAUGGCAUCGCAUGGAGGUCAAAUGUCCGCAGUGUUUUCCCAUGCCUAUAAAAUUGGCACAUAUGGUAUUGAUAUGAUGCCUUAUUAUCUGCUUAGCUGUGAAGUGCGAUAGAUGGCACUGAGCCAUUGAUGGUGGUUAUGGUUGCUGGAUUACCAGUCAUGAUAGUAUAUGGAUUUCAGUCAUUUCUUGCUUCUAUUUUGACCAUUGUCAUACUGAGCAUCAUAAUUCUUCCUUUUUAAACUUUAGGACUAUUAGCAUCAUUUUUGGGUUCCACAUUACUGCUUUGUAAUUCGUGUACCGUAUUUGCAUGUUUUCCUCGUUUGCUGCUCGGUGGUGCCCAAAUAAAUUUGAGCUGUAUAACAUUCCAGAUGCCCUUAUGUAUCUGCAGCUGUGAUCCGGACUGAGGGGUUCGAUUACCUCAAAGACAACUGCCCAUCGCUGCAGUCAGAGAUACUGCGAACAGUUGCCGGUUGCGAGGAGCAAUGCAGCAGCGGUGGGAAAAGCCAGAGUGUAUGGGCGCAGCUCUCUGACGGUGGCGAUACCAGCGGCCGCAGGGUGAGGCCGAGGGUCUGAGCUCUGAGGCAUCACCGGCUUACCGCCGUGAAACCAUGAUCAACUGACCUGUGUAAUCGAAGCUGCUGUAGUGUAAAUGUGGACAGGGCACCGUACAGCUAUUUGAUUUGUGACAACGCUUGAAAUAAUAUGAUUAGCAUCUUGCUUGUUGCCACCCUCUGUGCCUUUUUUUACAUAAUCGUUCCUUGGUUCAGUUCACAGGCUUUUGCUUCUGAGUAUCGCACAUUGCACACGCACAAAUAAUGGUGUACAGGCGUCGAGUAACAUGGGGCAGCUAAGUGAAAUGAGACUUCCGACGCCAUCGGGGCAUCCUCAACGUGCAAGUAAAUACUGAAGAGAUGGAACCACAGAACCUGAAUGACAAUGACGGUGGUUUAAACAGACUGGAUGUAGGUAAUCGUCCACCUGAGUUUGGUACGAACAAACUACACCGGCAAGGCCCCAGACAAUGCAAAUAUGCAACAGCCGAGGGCAUCCUCUCGUCACGCAAGCAACACUAACACUUCAGAUUUUGCUCAACCAAAUGAAGCCACCAGGAAUUCCUUGUAAAUGCUCAUGAACUUUGCCACGAAAGCUGCAAAAGGGUUGUAAAAGGAGAUGGAGCAGAUAAGUUAAGUAUGACUGCUAUACUGCUAUCAUCAAUCCAAAAGACCAUACGUGCAAAUCUGAGAUAUUUGCACAUAAUAAAACAAAAAAUGAAUAAAAAGAACAAUCUAAGUGAAAGCUAUACAUGGCUAAACCAAUUUAUACACGAAAAGGCAUGCUUUCACUGUGUUUUGAUCAUGGUAUAUUCAGAUGAAGGUACCAAAUGAUAGCUUUAGAAACAAUGUUAACCAAUAAGACUGAACAGGUGUGACCAUAUACAUGCAGCCCAAUAAGCAUAAUAAUAUGCACUUAAUAGAAGGGGCAAAAGAAGUACCUUCUAGGUGAAAAAUGGCUUUUGAUCCAAGGCGCAUCUUGUGCUCCUGCAAACAUAAAGCCCCACAAGUUAGAACUAUGAGGUAGCAAAAGCACCACAUGAAAAACAGCUUCAAUAGGUUAUGCCCUCUAAUUUCUGUUUAUUUGCCAAACUAGGGGUGUCAUGGAACUAAAUCAAUUGGGAGAAAUUGUUUCCAAAUUGUUUACUCACAUAGUGUGCAGCCCAGUGACAGAUUUCGUGCUUCAGAUCAGAGUCUAACUUCUUCAGUAAUUCCGCCAACAACUUCUGCAGUAGUCAAGGAAGUUCAGCAUGCAUGAUAUCAAAGAGCAUGGGAGAACGAAUAAAGCAGUGGUAGAAGCAUUAAAUCACCUUCAAAAUACUUUCAGGUGGGAUACAAUUGACAAGUAAUUCAUAGAAUUUCUGGCGUACAGCAUAUAGCCUGAAAUGUUCAGAGGCAAAUCAAAGAAUAAGGCACUUGUGUACAUCACCAUUUAGUGCGAUACAUAAUUUCAACAAAUGGCUGUCCACGAUAAAAUUGCGCUCAUUCGGAAGGGGAACUUUCUCAAAUCUAUAUUGUCCUCGAUACUGUAAAAAAUAAAAUAUAAGAGACAAGUAAACAGAUCAUAUUUAGCUGCUUGCAAUCAGCAUUUACGAUAUUAUUAUUAUUAGAUUUAAAAAUCUUCCCAUGUAGUUGUUGGAGGCUGCAAGACAACAGGAAGCAUGGAAAGCUAGUUAAGGAACUUGAAAGGAAACUAUAUACCAGAAAAUGAUAGUUAUAACCACUUGUAUGAUGCGUCAAAAGAGUUGUCCAGGAAAUAGUAUCACUAUAUCAGUACCCAAAAGCAAACUAAUAUCAAAGCUAUAAGAGCAUCCACCAAUAUAGCAGCCAUCACUUCUUUCAACACUGGUACUGAAUGAUAUUAAUCUAUCACAAACUCCAAACAAAAAUUACAUAAGAUACUACAAACUAGAGCUUUUCUAUGUACGAGAAACAUGCAUCAGAUCUAGCCAUGCACUCACUUGCAUUCCUAUCAUUGAUAUGCCUUGUAUUUUCAGCAAAUAUAGGCAUGACAUCGUAGUACAAAUGUAAAACUAAAGCAAUACUGCAGCAGGAAUCCUCUUAGUUUAAGAUGAGGAAUAAAAGCAUGAAUACAAGAAUUAUAAAGCCUGAAGUACUUUCAACAGAAGUUGGAACCUUUUAGGGCUUUGUUCUGUCAGGAUAUCAGUUGAUAUUUCAGAGACAUAUUGCUCCCAGUCAAGAGGAGGUGCGGCUUGAUUUGAUGUAAAUGGGUAUCUGGAAGCAGAAAAGAAUAUGAUAACAAUCAGUGCUGGCAGGGGUUAGAGAUUGAAAUAAGUAUAAAAGCAGACAUCUGGCAAAUCAGUAAAGGAACUGAACGCCAAAUAAGCUCAAGAGCUUACUGUUGCACUUUGCAAGUCUCAAAAAACAGUAUUGCCCGUCUCAGAUUACGGUUUGAUUGUGCUGCAAUACGAGCAGCAAAUCCAGCUGGAAGCUGCAGGUUUUCUUUCUUCCCAAUGAACUCUAGAACUUGGACAAUCUGUGAAAUGAAGAAAGGUGUUCAUACUUUAGUAUUUUCAUAGUACAUUAUGUGCUCGACGGAUGAGCACAUUAAGGAAUGUCAACAAUGCUUUUGAACAGCCAAUUCACUGAGGCAAUACAACAAGUAAGAUCAAAUGAAAAUUGAAAGUUUGAAGCAUCUAUCACCAACCUGAUCUUCGCUAGGAGCAUUCACUCGCACAUUUAAGCAACGGGAUCUUACAGCCUCUGUGACUUUUGAUGAGCUGUUACAGCAUAGGAUCAGUCUGCAUGAUGCACUAUACUUCUCCAUAGUCCUUCGGAGGGAAUGCUGGGCUUCUCGUGAGAGUUUGUCAACUUCAUUUAACACAAGGACUGCAAGUUCAGAUGAACCUUGUUAAGUUCCUGUUAACAGGGCCUAAAAAAGAUGCAUGCUCAUGUCUGAGAUAUCCAACUUAUGCUACUUAAGGUUUACAAUCAUGAUGAAAAUAUCAUUAGUUUUUCUUGCAAAAAAUAUCAUUAGUUAGGCUAAUAAGCAAACCUACUAGCAUCAUGUGAGGCAACUUCAUACUUGUAUAAUCAUGCAUAAUAAAACUGAAUAUCAAGAAGAAAAAAAGUAGCAGCACCUGCUUUGAUAGCCAACAAAGAACUAGGAGGAACAUAGACACGGUACUGCAUGAAAGAACACCAACCUUUAAAUGCUCUCUUGCCUUUGGCAUCGAUUGGCCUAUUCUUUGCCAUCUCUUUGAUGACCUCCUGGACAACAUACCUGUCCUGAAAGCCUGCAUCACUGGGGUUCAUCUCCACAUGAUGAGCACUCGACAACAUCGCCAACUCUAUCUCAAGUGUUCUUGUUCCGGUCUGAAGAGGAAAUAGCAACUCAGACUCCAGACAAAUUCAUAGGUAAUCCAACUUGUCAAUAAAGCCCGACACAUCGAAACCAUGAGGUACCAACCAUUCUACACGUCAGACUACUGCAUAACCCCAAAAGAACAUAUGAGUUGCAGUAAUUUCCUAUCAUGGUGCUGUGACCAUCACAAUCAUAUAAAAUGGGAUUCAUCUAAAUCUUACAUGACACCGAUACCAUCGACUAAGAGGUAUUACUUUUUUUUUUUGAAUGGUCACCGGGGGGGGGGGGAGCAUCCCCACCUGAAUUAUAUUGAUAAGGUGUGGCAGCCCACAGAUCAAAGACCUCGUUUUUUAGGGAAAACGAGGUAAAACCCUACAUCGCUCGGUUAAUUCAGGAAAACCAGGCUAAAACCUUAACAACAACCUAGCUAAACUAGGUCUCAACUAACACCAAGCCCAAGCACAAGGGCAAAUACACUAGCAUUUCGUGAAGUCCUCAGCACAUCAUCAGAAUUUCUUGAAGUGGCACUAAUAAAUAAGAACAAAGCUUAGGCUAUGGAAAGGUAGGACUCACAUCAAUCUUCCAUGUCUUGUUCUCCAUCUUAACCUGCAACCGAGCAACCAGAACACGGAAAUGUCAACACCAAACGAUGACCUCAACAUAGAAAAAUCUAAACAACAAAGAGGAGACCCCCAAAUAAAUUUAUAUUAAGAAAAUGCACCUUCUCCGCGCCGGCGCCGAACAUCUGCUUGAUGAGCGCUAGGAUUAGGGUUUUCUUCCCGGACCCCGACGGCCCAUAGAACAGCAGGUGCGGGCAAUCCUGCUCCGACACCUGAGCAAAACCAAAGCACACAUGAUUAGAACUGCAAAACAUCGGGCGAAACCCUAGAUUAACCCGGAGACGCGCAGAUCGCGGGGAGGCUUACGAGCUUCCGGAGGUUCUGCGCGACCUGGUCGUGGACGGUGACCUUGUCUAGGGUCUUGGGCCGGUACUUGUCCACCCACAGCAUCCUCGCCGCUCCCUCUACUUCCCCGCCUCGGCUCGCCGCUAGAGAGGUAGAGAGAUUUGGGGAUUGGAUUGGACUGGGAGGGAAAUGGAGGGGAGUGGCGGGAACUCGGGACUGAUGGGGGCGGGGACUCCGCCGCUGGGAGACGAGGGUUUUUGCCGGGCGCCUCGCCUAUCUUUUCUGACAGGUGCGGUCCACAUGUCAGCAGUGCUGGUGCCGGGCCUGGGCGAGCGACGCGAUGUGGGCCGUAGGCUUGGUUUGAUGGGAGGUCGAGGGGUAAACCACACAAGGGAGCCCAGUUUUGCAAGGACUUGUUUGUUAUUUUUUUCAAAUGCUCUUGAUUUGUAAUUUGGUUACCACAAACUUAGUGUCAUGGUUAAAGGUUAAUUUAUUUCAGAUCACAAGAGUAUUUAUUUAGACUGCACUCGGGGGUACUUGUACCGUUGGCAUAGUGGCUCUGUCCUGCCUCUACUUUUGUGAGUGCAGUUAGGGUGUGUUUGUUUCUUUCUCUCCGAAGUUUAGACCCGUCGCAUUAAAAAAACUCUUGCUAUUUAGAAGUAUUGAAUAAAAUCUGUUUAUAAAACUUUUGCACAGAUGGGUGCUAAUUCGCGAGACAAAUUUAAUGAGCCUAAUUAAUCUAUAAUUUGCCACAGUGAUGCUACAGUAAUCAUCCGCUAAUCAUGAACUAAUAUACCUUAUUAGAUUCGUCUCGCAAAUUAGUCCUGGGAUUCUGCAAUUAGUUUUAUAAUUAGACUUUAUUUAAUACUUCUAAAUGAUAAGAUUCUUUUUGAUGUGACACCUCUAAACUUUAGACUCUAGAAAACGAACACACCAUUAGUACUGAACAAACAGCCCCAUUGUUAGGCACAGAAGCAUUUAUGCUGUUGCCUGUAGCAAACUUAGAAGCAGCAUUAAAGACAGAUCCAGGAGAUAUGAUCAGUGAUCCUGACAGAAAUAGUGGUGUUAUUUAUCUGUCAAAUAUGGGAGAAUGAAUGCGGCAUCAACAGGGCACCAGUGGUCUAGUGGUAGAAUAGUACCCUGCCACGGUACAGACCCGGGUUCGAUUCCCGGCUGGUGCAUCACUUCUUAUGAAGAAUUUUUUACUUACGUAAUGCUGCAACCAGAACGCACAGAGCUCAUUUUGUUUUUUGACGUUUUUUUUACGUGAUGCUGAAGCCACAACGCACAACGGCACAAACGAAGAGCUCCAGCUCCUGAUAAUUUCGAAAUCAAACCAUGGAGCUUUGCUUCUCUUUUUUUUAGUUCCCAUCACAUGACGGGAGCAUGGGGCCAAGUGCACGAGGACAAGUCUUUGCCGCUUCUAUUCCUCUCUGAAAAACACGUAACGAAGCAACAAAAGGAGGCGAGGAGCGCGGCCGACCACACCAAUCAAUUCGAAAUGACACAUCAUUUUCGAACCCAGAAGCGCGUGAUGGGUUGAUCACUUGAACACUCGCUUGACCCUGCCACCUGCGGUACUGAUCCGCAACGCGGUGAAGUGCAAAUCCAUCCGCGGAAAGCAAACCAACUACUCCACCGGAGCAAAGCAAAGCAACCGUCACAGGCCGUAGCUGGAGAAGACGAGAGAGAGAUAGGCUACGCGCCGGAUGACCGGAAGGCGCCACGCAUCGACGGCGGCAACCCGGCACGGCGCCAGAUCACUACCACGGUGACGGCUGCAACGGCGACGGGCGCUUGGUUCCUCUUGCUGCGCCUGCCCUGCUCUCCUCCAGCGGGGGCACGACACGACGCGGCAGCGUGGAGGGCAUGUGCGGCGCGCAUCCACCCGCGCGAGGCCGCGGCCCCUUUGUCCGGGCGUGCCCGGCGAUUUGAAUCGUGGGUGGGCGUUUUGGUAAUUGGGCUACCGCAACGGGCGAAUCGCCUGGACUGGACCGUGGACUCGGACGGUGGUGGAAUCCGGCACAUCGCCGGCCAUUUGGGGCCUCGGGCUGUCCCAUGAUACGCCUGUCCCCUAUUUUCUUCUCUCCCUCUUCUUCUCAAUUUAAUUCACUUCUUGCUUGAAAUUGAACCCGAAUUAACGAAUCAGUUGGAUUACAUAAAAGAAGGUAUUAGCAUGGAUCUUAAAGAAAAUCAGAAACUUUUUAGCACGCACGCUACUCCCUUUUUCUCCAUGCGAUUUGCACGCUAUCUUUUGCUCCGUAACACCGGACAGCGUCUCUGUCCGGGAGGCCCCGGCGCGGGCGGCCGGCACGGCAGUGGAGGCGCCGCCCCGCCCCCCACGUGGGCUCCACGAGUCAAGCCGGGGACCGCGUGCCACGUCGCCCUCCUCCCCCGUCCCCCGGCACCGAAACGCUCGCGCGCCGAGAUGACCAAACCGCCCUCGCCCUCGCCCUGCCGCCCACUACUACCACUACCGCCACUCCCCCCACCUCCUCCGCCUCCUCUGCUUCGCGAUACGGGCGGCUAUAUCCGCUGGCGUCACGUCGCUCCGGGUCAUCCCACCGCGUCCCGGCGAGGAGGAGAUCCCUGCUCUGGAUCACUUGGGCCCCGUGUAGUAGUAUCCUCCUCUGCUGUCUCCGCUGUCCUCUCUCCCCCUCGAUUCAAAAGUUCCUUCGCUUUUCCGAUCCGUCCCCGCCAGGUUCUCCUCAUCCGCCGCGUCUUGAUUGCGGCCGCUGUCCAACUCCCCGGCCCCAUCUUCCUUAUUUGGUCCGUGGGAUUUUCCAGCACCCACUCGCAUGUGAAAAUCUCUCUUCUUCCUUUCCCGUGUUUCUGUCACACGGAUCGGGUGGGUGGAGGUCGGGGACCUCGAGCUGCAGGAAACCGUGUUUCGUGCGCAGCCUUCGUUCCUACAUCUCCGUUUCCUUGGAGCGGCGUCUCGCCGUCCUGUCUAUAGAAGCUCCCUUCCUGAUCGAUUCUCAUCAAUCUUGCAUCUCUCUUCGCCACAAAUUUAAAGCUUUCUUUGUUUGGACUUGUGGAAGCAAUAAGUCUUGAAGCUUCCUUAGUCUGAUUGCAUCCAGGAGGCCCGGCGUUGGUCUCUCCUGCUCCUGUCGAUUGGUUGCUGGGAGUUCAGAGCUGUUGAGAUCUUCACAGGCAGGCUCCGAUAUCAGCGCGCCGGGAUGGCGAAUCUAGCCGCGCUGCGUCCGUGGCUCUGCCUGCUGGCGGCAAUGGCGGCGGCGUCGUGGUCCGGCGUCGCGACGGUGGAGGCACUGGGGAUGAACUGGGGCACGCAGGCGACGCACCCCCUGUCGCCCAAGGUCGUGGUGCAGAUGCUGAAGGACAACGGCAUCAAGAAGGUGAAGCUGUUUGACGCCGACCAGGGCACGCUCAGCGCGCUCGCCGGCAGCGGCAUCGAGGUCAUGGUCGCCAUUCCCAAUGUCCUGCUUGACAGGAUCACCGACUACGACACCGCCAAGGAGUGGGUCCGGCACAACGUCUCGCGCUACAACUUCGACGGCGGCGUCACCAUCAAGUGAGCAACCAUUCUUCUGCUGCUCAUACAUGGCGCCGCGGCCGCGUGAUGUGUCUGCUCAUUCCUGUGUUGCAUUGCAGGUACGUGGCCGUGGGCAACGAGCCGUUCCUGGCGGCGUACAACGGCACGUUCGACAAGGUGACCUUCCCGGCGCUGCAGAACAUCCAGAACGCGCUGGACGAGGCCGGGCUCGGCGAUACCAUCAAGGCCACCGUCCCUCUCAACGCCGACGUGUACAUGUCCCCGACGGACAACCCGGUGCCGUCGGCGGGGCGGUGGCGGCCGGACAUCGCGGACCUGAUGACGCAGAUGGUGCAGUUCCUGAGCAACCACAGCGCGCCCUUCACCGUGAACAUCUACCCGUUCAUCAGCCUGUUCCUCAACGACAACUUCCCCGUGGACUUCGCCUUCUUCGACGGCGGCGCGACGCCCGUGGUGGACAACGGCGUGUCAUACACCAACGUGUUCGACGCCAACUUCGACACCCUGGUGGCGGCGCUCAAGGCGUCCGGGCACGGCGACAUGCCCAUCGUCGUCGGCGAGGUCGGCUGGCCCACCGACGGAGACAAGCACGCCACCAACGCGUACGCGCAGCGCUUCUACAACGGCCUCCUCAAGCGGCUCGCCGCCAACACCGGCACCCCCGUCCGGCCCAACCAAUACAUCGAGGUCUACCUCUUCGGCCUCCUCGACGAGGACGUCAAGAGCGUGGCGCCCGGCAACUUCGAGCGGCACUGGGGCAUCCUCCGGUACGACGGGCAGCCCAAGUUCCCGAUGGACCUGACCGGGCAGGGCCAGAACACGAUGCUGGUGCCGGCGCGCGGCGUGGAGUACCUGUCCCGAACGUGGUGCGUCGUCAACACCGAGUCGCCCAACAUGGACAAGCUCGCCGACAACAUCAACUUCGCCUGCACCUUCGCCGACUGCACGGCGCUGGGCUACGGCUCGACGUGCGGCGGCAUGGACAGCAACGGCAACGCAUCCUACGCCUUCAACGCCUUCUUCCAGAUGAAGGACCAGGCCGACGAGUCCUGCGACUUCCAGGGCCUCGCCAGGCCCGCGCAGACGGACCCGUCCACGGCCGCCUGCAACUUCACCAUACAGAUCGCCACCACCUCGGCGGCGGGGCACCGGCGGCUCGCCGGGCCGCGCCGCGUGGCCGCCGCCGCCGCCGUGCUGUUCUUGGCGCAGCUGAUGAUCCUGCUGCAUUAGAGUGUGUGCACUGCUUAGAUAGGCAGGUUAUCGUUGAUCUUUGGUUGGUUUGGGGGCAUUUUUUUGCAGGGCGCGCUUGGAGAUUAUAGUUUGUUCGUUUGUUGGGGUUAUUCUUGGCGAAAUAAUUGGUAGGAACCAGUAGAAAGUGUUGUACUGGAGAUAUACAUGCGUACUUCAGGUUCGGAAUAUAUACUGAUGCGAGAUGCUGGACAUUGUAGUCAUGUCAUUUAAGCUUGUACAAUGAUGCAUGAAGAUACAGCAGCUCGUUGAAACACACUGAGCUGAACUGCUGAUACAAAUCAUUGGAGCUAGAUGACUGACGAGUGAACAGUUUCAUCAGUGGUUACUUCCAAAAAAAAAGUUUCAUCAGUGGGCACCAUGUGUCCACAUCAGUUCAGGAUGCAGGGUUGGAACUUGGGAGUUGUAGCUUGUAGGUGAUCCAGAUUCGCGCUAUACUAGUGCCAACCACAUGACUUGAAUCGAAAUCCGAGAUGCGUAGGAGAUGCACAUGGUCCCCAGAUCCAGCAUAAGAACAUGGACACAUGGUGUCAUGGUCUAGAUGAACAACCUUUCUCAAUCUCUCGUCCAAAGUUGGAACUCGUUCCGGGCUUCCAUACGCAGGUGAAGUAACCAAUAAACCAGCAGAAGAAGCUUUUCCGAAUCAGCCGUGCACAUGGAGCCUCCAAUUUUCUGCCGGUUUCGUUUCGAGUUUUAAUCAGUUAACAGUUGAAGGAGCCCAAGUUUUCUCGAUGGAUCCACCUGACCUCCUCAUACUCUGCAGCAAGCUCUCUUUUGCACAAGGUCAAGUUGCAGAAGGUGUAUCUGAAUCUCACGCAAAGCACACAAGAAAAAUCAACGGAAUGACCAACUAGCCACUGCAGCGAUGCUGCAGCCCGUCGCAGCCCAAUGGGCCGGAUUAGUGACUGGACCAACUCCUGAGCUGGUUGGCCGAAGCAAAAAACUGUAAUUCUCAGUAGAACGAUGAGCAAAGUUCAGAUAGUGGCGGACGCAGAGCUCGCAAGCAGAGCUGGAGAACAAAGCGGCACCGUCGGAGUAAAUCUCUAGCCGGGUGGUGGAAUGCAUCCGUCUAAUUCUAGUCUAGAAUAAGUUUGGAAGAACUUAAAACACUAGAUCAAGAGGUGAAUGAACACGGAAAGCACACAAGGGUUUAGAGUGGUUCAGACCGCCGGAGCGUAAAACCCUACGUCCACUGUAUGUUAUAUUACUUGUGAGAACUUAAAACUUCUGAGAGCUUGUGAGCUUGGGAGUCUCUGAAUCCUCCAGAACUUGUGUUUUAACGAGCAAGCUUUCUCUUUUAUAGGCUCAAAGGGAACGCGUACACUGAGUGGGGUCCCGAUAGGUGGAUCCGGCGACAUAUUAGAUAACGUACACAUUGGAGCCUUUAUGCCACAUAUUCAGAAAUCUUUCUCUUCGGCUCCUCCCUGUAGUCCUUGAUCGGGAAGUUGAUGUGCAUAUCUUCUAACAGGGUACGGUCAUGUACCGUUUCACCGGCACAGUGCCUGCUGUCAAUGACAUGCACAGUGUAAGUCGUGCUGUCACUGUUGGAUCAAUUCCCGAUGACGGGCGAAGGGGCUGUGUUGACCUGCCGUGUUGUAGCCUCCGCGCAUCCUGUAGCAGCGCACGCUGCAGCCCUUCUGCAGCAGAUCAUAAUUACCCUUUGCUCACGCGCGCGGCGCUGUGACGUGACUACACGCCGUCCGCCUUCAUAUGCGGUGUGGUGAUGCGACGCGUCGCCUCGGUAACUGGCGGGCUUACCGUGGUGUCAGCAUACCUACCCGACGUGUCAUGGACAGCCCACGCCCUGACCCGGGCACGCGCACCCCACCUACCGGCAUUACUGGCGUCCCGCAGAAGGCUGGCUGCCACCGGACACGUAGCAGAGCUGGCUUAGUAGCCGAUUCCUCAGGGGCACGUGGCGACACCGGACCUCCUCCCCGGAGGGAAGGGAGGUCCGGACCCCUGAGGCCGACCCAGGUGCACAGGUCCCCAGAGGGUCUGGCUUCCACACGUGGCGGCACCGGACCACUCCGCGGGGGUUCUGGCCCGUGGUGGCCGUUCAUGAGCACCUUGUCCUUGUGGGCAUAUGGAGACGCCGGACCUGUUAGAGCACGGGGUGAGAUCCGAAGACCGCGACCCUAACUGUCAGGCCCGGACCGUACACCCUGUCAUCCAAAUGUAUAGGAUGAGGUUAUGGAUACCCUUGCAUCCUUUUCGGGCUGGAUACCUCGCAGGAGGUAUCCUGUCCGUACUUACCGACAGGCACCGUCAGGGAACGGGAACGAGCAAAGGGGCAAGCCAUGUGCCGUGCUGACGUGAACGCAAGCAUUGCUGUCUCUGCACUUGCCAAUGGCAUUUCAAAUUGUCCUCAUAUAUGCUGAAGGUUGCACUGCCACACUAACUUGUCUCAUGACUAAGACAUUUAGGCACAGGUGAUAUUAUGAUGCAAUGCAAGCAACCAUAUGUAAGCCUGAAACUUAUAGAAAUCGAAAGACAUGUUUACAGUGUAGGACAAAGACUCUGAUGAUCGCCUCCUGCGCAAGGCAUAACUGAACUUUUACAGCAACAGGCACAAGUACGAUGAUGAAGAGUCAGUUUACACCUUUUUUUUGUGAAAGUGUACAUCUAAUUCGAAAUCGAAUAAGAGACAGAAUUUGCAGGAGUGCAAUCAGGAUUUGCAGGGAGCUGUGGAAGCAGCAAACGAGCACAGCUGCGUUCGAUUUCGAUGACUUCCUCAGCUUCUCUCCUUCCAGCCGACAGCCAGAGCAAGUGGCCAUCGGCAUCGUAGUAGAGGUGCAUCAAACUCAAAAACACCUGACCACCGGCUGAGAGACAAAUUUGUGCAUCAAAGGACACGGACACUGAAAGUAAAACAUUGAAUUUCGUCCUUGGAGGUGUUCAUGUGCACACGCCGACAUGGUUCGGUUCGAUGUGUCCUCUCAAGUUCAAUUUCCUUGAACUCUCGUUCAUAAGCCAGCUGACCUGUUGAGCCGGAGGGCGGCGGCGAGGCCAGCCAGGCGGCGUGCCAGGAUGACAGGCGGGAGCUACUUAAUUGGAAACAGGGAGCUCGCCGGGCGGCGGCGGCAGCAGCAAGAGCGGCACUGCGGCAGGAUGACGGGAGGUAGCACUGAACUAAGCAAUCUAGUGCGCCCACGCACGGCUUGGGAGCUCUCCGGAGGGUGGCGGCGACGGCGAGGCCGGGGAAGCGGCGCGGCGAGCGGACUUCUAAGCGCUCGGCCCAUUCAACGUCCCGUUUGCCGUGGGUCUCCCUUGCUUAAUCUCGACCGUCGGUUUAGGAUUAAACGGUUCACAGCUACCUGGGAUGGACGGUAAAUGAAAUACCGUCCACCCCUGGUGGUGGCGAGGAGAGGCCAGCGCGGCAGCGCCGGCCGCCGGUGAGAUGCAAGGCGGCGAGGGAAGCCAUGGAUAGGAUCCGAGGGCCUCCCCACCCCCUAGCAGCAGCGCGGCCAUCGACAGGCAUCUCCCAGCUCGGAAGCAGCGUCGCCGCGGUAGGCCAGGCCAGGCGCGCCGCGUGCCAGGCUGCCGGCGUUGCCGCUGCUUCUGCCAGUUGAACAAGUACGAAUCACUCUGUUUAUUUGGAGCUUCAGUACUGAAACUAGUGCGAGAUCAGAACUGAAGGUCCCUGGACCCCCUUCAAGCUUCCAGCUGCGUGCGUACGCAUAUCAGCACGCGAUGCACUGGUCUGGCUCACGGCACACGGUGGGCGAUCGACUCAAGAGCAAACAGGCUGCGGGUUCGACGUGACGGCUGGACUGCGAUCGAGCAGGUGAUGAUUAUCCGUGGACGUCAACGGCGAGCUUCAUCCCCGAGACGCAGUGGCCCUCGACGCCGCAGAUGAAGAACCACCGCCCGGCCUGCCGCAGCGCCACGCGGUCGUCCCCGGAGGCCAGCGUCGGCGCGUUGCUCGGCACGGCGCACGCCGCGUAGCUCUGCGCGUCCACCACCACCACGUUGUGGAACCCCUCCGAGUACAGGAACUCUGAGAUCGACAUCAACCAGUCGGCGGUUAGCUAGCCCAUCAACGGGGGCCUGCGAACACGCAGGCAACACCAUGCCGCGCCGUGCGCGUCGUGUUAUGCCACGAUCAGUCACGUACCGAGCGUGUCGCCGACUUUGAACUUCUUUCCGGCGGCCCAGGCAUCGUAGUCCACCCCGUUGUCCCAGCCGGAGUCGUCGCCGACCCUGUACGACGCCGCCGCGGACACCGUCGCCGGGAGUAGAACAACCACGGCAAUCGCCGCGGCGAUGAGCACUGUCGCGCGCGAGGCCAUUGCGUAGAGCAACGGAUGCCGAGCGAGCAGAGCACUGCAGGUCUCUGAGGGGUUCACCGGACGCUGCAGUGGCUGGGGCUAUAUAUGGGUACUGCUUCUGGGUAUCAGAUCGAGUUGACAGUUGAGAGCUGAUGCCCAUAUACACGUCAGCGAGCACGGAACCAUGGAAAACGUACGGUGGCUGGGCGCCUGUGACUGUGAGCUUGCAACGUUGGUGCGUCCACCGGUUUCUUUGGCUGCGUGGCGAGAAGACGGCUAGUUGUUCCUGCGGUGUAACCGAUGGAGGACGAGCGAUGGCACCGGGCCUGCAGGGCCCUGGAUUCAUCGCCGGGUUGCGCUGGUUCCUUUGACGAGCGAUGGUAACACGAAGAGAACACCGCGCCGCAAGGCAAGGGCACGUCUCGUAACAGCAGUGAUCACUGUCUGCUGUUCGUCGUGCGCCCGCCACUUCAAUAUUAUUGGGCCUACGCGGCAUGCUGCUCCCGGCGACUGCGCCGGCCAGGCCUGUGAAAAGAGCCGGGGAGGAAUGCCGGCCGGCGGCGAGGUUCUCCGGUGUAUCCUGCCGGCGUGCGCGAGAUCCGGGGUUUCUGUUUCUCCGGAGGCCGCGAGGCGCCUGACAACCUAUGUGCGCGAGAUUCUCCGAAGUUGAUGGCAUGAAGAACAAGCCGUUGGAUCAGUACGCGCUCUACGAGAAUCCAGUAGAGGCGUAAGUGCUAUGGUGGUUCUGAUCCUAGCAAUGCGUUUCUCCACUCAGCCAUAUCAUUGAACAAGCAUUCCAGGAGACAAGGCGCUUGUAUAUUUUACCCGUAUUCAUUUAUCACAAACGGAGCCAUUUUCAUACGGUCCACCAGUAAUCAGUAGAAGUUUGUGCGUCGAGCAUGCAUGCUGACCUCUUGCUAUUAGAGUUAAUGGGGAUGAGGUCAGGUUUCUUAUUUUCAGUCAUGUAUGCAGCGCAUUCUUGGGGUUCAUGGAAUUAAAUUUUGUGCCACAUAAUUAAUUUUGCUGACAUGUUGAAGAGAGAGGAGGGAGUCUCAUAGGAUGAGAGAGGAGUUUCGUCCCUAUAAAACUCAGCCGGCAUAAUUAUCUAGUUCUCAAUCUUGAUAACUCUACCGUGAAACUGUGCACCGAAACUGGUCUAGAAAUGUAGGGAUAGGAAAAGCUUAAAUUAAAGGCCGGUUUAAUUUCACUCCAAAGGGAAACAUUGGCCUAAGAAAACUCGAAUUGGAAUAAGUCAAUUGGAGUAAACUUGACUGAAUGGAUAAUCGGACAGGACUGCUGGGACAUACAUCACUCCGUUUAUUCGUAAGCUCGUUCUGGUAUCUGAAAUGCUAAGAUGAACUAAUUGAAGAAGACACUGCUAUGAAAACGCCGACGGACGACGCAAGCAGCUAGCAGACGGCGAUCUCGAGGCUAAGACAUACGACAUACGUGACGGCCAAGCUUAGCUAUAGCCGAUCAGUGGACGUUGACGGCGAGCCUCAUGCCGGAGCUGCACUCCCCCUCGGCCUCGCAGAUGAAGAAGAACUGCCCGACCUGCCCCAGCACCACGUGGUCGUCGCCGGAGGUCAGCGCCACCGCGUUGUCCGGCGCCACGCACUCGGCGUAGCCCCUCGCGUCCACCUGCACGACGUCGUGCUCGGGCGUCGAGUACCGGAACACUGCGAGAGGGAGCCGACCAACCAGCAGGUUAGUUACGACUAUGGAGUAGUAGUUACUUAGCCACGCCGCGCGCGUCGUGGGCACGCACGCUUAUGCCCGGAGGCCUGCGUAGCGUACGUACCGAGCGUGUCGCCGACCUUGAACUUCUUGCCCCUGGCCCAGGCGUCGUAGUCGACAACGCCGUUGUCCCAGCCGGCGUCGUCCCCGACCAUGUACGUCGCCGCGGACGCCGGCGCCGGGAGCAGAGCGGCCGCGCCGACGACGGCCGCCACGGCUGCGGCUAGGAGCAGCGUCCUAGGCGACGCCAUUUAAUUUGCUGCGUCGCGAGAGGGUAAUUAACGGGGGCGCGUACAGCUAGUGCUUGGUGUUUAUUUGUUCGCCCGGGGAUAUGAUGCUGCUGCGCUUGCUUGGCAUCAGAUCAGUUGGCCGCGCGUAUGUACAGGCAGACACCACCGUGCGCGGCCACCGUUUAGAGUUGGUGCGACCACCGCUGGCGUUGGCUGCUUGGCUACCGGACGCGAGUCCUAGCGGAGCAUCCGACGCGACUCCAUGGGAGGAACACGACGACGCGACUCGGGCCAGACAGAGUUGACAGAUUCAACAGCACGUGUGAGAAGUUAGGCGGCAUGCUUGGCGCGAGCCGCGGAGCACUAGGCGGAGCACACUAGGCUCAAGGACGUGCAUGGUCGCGCACGGGGCCGCGGCGGCGGUGCCGAUCUCGUCGACGUCGACGCUCUUCCGCUUCUCCGCCAUCGUUACCGUGCGGACUGCGGAGCGUCAUCGAUCGAGGGCACUGCAACGUCGGGUGGGUUGGGUGCGGCUUUAUAAGGACACGUGCCAGGGCGACACGGCGUGGCCGACGGAGGCGGUGCUGGUUCGGAGCGUACGCCGUACGCGACCUUUCUCCUGUUCGGAGCAGAUGCAUUCGUGACUCCGAACCGAAAAAAAUCUCUGGUUCCGCCUCGCCGACCUUGACAAACAUGAGUACAUGACCUCUCUUCCGGCACCUCUCGUACGGUACGGCCGCGGCGGUUUCAUGCGAGCAGAGGGGUGGCGCAGACGAAUCACUAUUGCGAGUUGAUCGCCGCCGCCGGUCGCCGUCCAGCUUGGCGACGACGAAGCACAGGUGCUGCUCGUGCGGCCGCCGGAACGCCCAAACCUCGACACGGUCGUCCUUCUUGAAGCCGCUGGCUGCGACGAACCUCCCGUAUCCAUGGCCGUUGAUCACCAUGGCCUUGGUGCUUCGGAACGAGUUUAGCCUCAGCGCCGACGCCGCGCUCGUAGACGAGCACCGGCACCCAUGGCCAUGGGUACCUCGUCUUGUGUCGUCCCUCUUCUUCUUCGCGCCCGUGAUGAUCAGGACAGCUCUGAUUCGAGCUUCAGAACGACAAGCAAAGGUCGCGCGCGACGAAUGCGUCCUGCGAGCGCCUCCUCGCUGUUCGUCCCCGUCUCCGGGAGCCACGCGCUCUCGACGCGGCGGCCUUGGGGCAGCACCUCAACUCCCGACGGGGCAGGGCUGUAAGCGGGCAAGCGGCGACGCGCGAGGAGUCAGGAGGCUGCGUGGAUUCGUCUGAGAGCGACUAAUGGAUGCACAGCGGCGCUGCGCGGAGUCGCGGAGGCCAGCGGUGGCGGCGCGACCUCGCCGGGGGCAGCAAUGCCCGCUGGCCUCCAAUAUUUGCAAACAAACCCCCCAGCUCUAUUAUAAAUAUUUAUAUAUUAACCCCUUUACUUUACAAAUAACCUCCUUAUUGGGAUCGCGAUCCGAAUAUUUACAAAUAGAACCCCUAUUAUUUACGGAUAACCCCUAGCUAGUUCGGAUCGACUCAGCCUCUCCGGCGACGGCCGCCGCCAACCGUCAUCCUCGCUGCCGGAAUCGGCAUUUUCCGUUCAAACCUCCAGUCAACCCUCCUCUUCGCUGCCUACCACGGCAAGGACAGGACAGGAAAAGACAUGAGGCGAGCGGUUCGUCACUCCGAGCGGAGCGAGCAUAGGCCGCGAGCUUGACUUCACGUCGGGAGCUCGGCUAUGGCGGCUCGUCCCCGUAGCUUGUUUUGGAAUCUGAACUACUCUGGCAGCCCUUUGAACAUGGUGCUGGAUUAAUCCUCCCUAGUAUUUUUUUUCUUGCAAUAAUUUCAUCCGGAGUGGUAGGCAUCCAACUCUGUUUGGGGCUGUACCAAAUCAUCAUCGCUGAUUGACAAAAAGAUCCGCUGGGAGCGAACAAGCCAUCAUUUGCAUCAUCUUGGACUCUUGGCUUGCUUUAGCACUGAAUCCUUGAUGAAAUUCUGAUGAACUCGUCUGCACCUGAGCUCUGGAUUCCUGCCUCUGCAGCUCUGCAUCUGCCUGUGCUUUCUGGUACUGCAAAAGGAAGGGUACUCUGAAGAUGUAACUGAAACCAGGAUUAGCAUCUGAUUCAAAUAUAAAGUAUUACUAUGUCUGGACCUCAAAAGGAAGGCACAAGUAGGGUGAUGAAGAGUCAGUUUACAUCAUCUUCUUCUUCUUCUUUUGUGAAAGUGUACCUCUAAUUCGUACAAGAGAGAGAAUUUGUAGGAGUGCAGGCAGGAUCUGCAGGGAGCUGUGGAAACAGCAAACGAGCACAGCUGUGUUCAAUUCAAAAUGGGAUAUAUAUAUAUAUAUAUGUAUAUAUAUGUAUGUAUAUAUAUAUACACAUACAUACAUACAUAUAUAUAUAUAUAUAUACACGUGAAACCAUUCCGGCCCCGCGCACGCCGGCAGGGGGCGCGACGCAAGCAGCCGACCGCGAUGCCGAGGCUCACCACGACGUGACGGCCAAGCAGCUUAGCUCUAGCCGACCCGAUCAGUGGACGUUCACGGUGAGCUUUAGGCCGGAGCUGCAUUCCCCCUCGGUGUCGCAGAUGAAGAAGAACCGCCCGGCCUGCCCCAGCACCACGUGGUCGUUGCCGGAGGUCAGCAGCACCGUGUUGUCCGGCGCCACGCACUCGGCGAAGCCCCGCGCGUCCACCUGCACCACGUCGUGCUCGGGCGUCGAGUACCGGAACACUGCGAGCGAGAGCCGACCAACCAGGUUAGUUAGCUAGUUAGCCACGCCGCGCGUCGUCCGCCGCGCCGUGGGCACGCCAUGCGUACGUACCGAGCGUGUCGCCGACCUUGAAUUUCUUGCCCCUGGCCCAGGCGUCAUAGUCGACGCCGGUGUCCCAGCCGGCGCCGUCCCCGACCAUGUACGUCUUGGCGGACGCCGGCACCGGGAGCAGAGCGGCCGCCAUGGCUGCGGCUACGAGCAGCGUCCAAGGCGACGCCAUUUGCUGCGUGGGGGGAGCGGGUGCCGGGGCGCGUACAGUGCUUGAUGUUUGUUUGCCCGGGGAUGCUGCUGCGCUUGCUUGGCAUCAGAGUUGGCCGCGCAUAUUUAUACGCAGACACGACCUUGCGGCCUUACCCGGCCGCCGUUCAUGGUUGGUGCUUGGCGACAGGACGUGUGCUCUAGCGGAGUACCCGAGGCAACUUCUUGCCAGGCACACGACAACGCGGCACGGCACGUCGUUGUUGGCAGGGAGCCUGGGUUCGUUUAGGUUCAUAAUUUGCUGGAAGUAGUAGAGUUGAUCGAUUCGACAAGCGCAAGAAGUUGGGCCGCAUGGCGCCGGCCGAGCACUGGGCUGAAGGAGUACAGUGGCAGCCGCUGCCGGCGUGCGCAAGCUACGGCGUCUCUCCGGUGUCCGGCUGGUGCCUGAGAGCUUAUGGUUGUGUGUCUGCGAGUUCCUGUACGUACCACCCUGCACGCCUAUUGUGAUCGAUCAGUUCAAGACACCUUGUCGUCGUCGUUGCCUGGAUCCGGCCGGGAACGGUGCAGAGCCUCUAGCUCUAGUACGUGCCUUAUUAUCCAGACAAGGUUUGCAGCAUUAUUACUCAGACACGUGAAAAUAAAGAGAACGAGAACGAAACAAGGGUAACCGAUCGACGAAUUUACAAGUCAUCAUCCACAAUUUUAAACAGCAGAGUAGGCUAGUGCUGGCUGCAAACUAGUACUAGCACAGCACACUACGCGUUCGUCGUCGAUGCGAGCAUCGGUUGCCUGCCUCAGAUCUUGGCGAUCUUGUCGGCGACCACGACCGGGUUGUUCUUGGCGAUCCGCUCGCGGCCGGCGCCCUUGUAGUCGAAGCCGCAGGCGUGCUUCUCCGCGUAGCGAUGCGCGCCGCAGAAGGUCUCGCCGCAGCAGCACCGGAACCCCAGCAGGCCAACCUUCUUGCGGCACGCCGCGCACCGGCUCGCCGCGGGCUUCACGGCCGUCGCUGGCUCGGCAGCGGCCGCGCCAUCGGCGCCACCAUCUGGGGACGGCGCGACGGCGGCAGCGGCGCACGUGAUGAUCCUGGCCUUCUUCUCCGGCACCGCGCCGCGGGGUGCUGCGGGCGCGAGGGCGCUCGUCUUGAAAACGUCCUGCAUCUUCUUCCUCUCGUCGGUGGGCGCCGCGGCGCCGCCGUGCUCGCGGUAGCACUUGGAGCACAUGCCACCGGUGGCCGGGUUGCCGAAGAAGCCGCACCCGGUCGCGCACGGGCCCGCGGUGGCGGCGCCGGUCUCGUCGACGUCGACGCUCUUCCGCUUCUCCGCCAUCGCUACCGUUCGGAGCGUCGUCGAGUGCGUGCUGUGGCCGAAAACGUCGUCCGUCGAGGAGGGAGCGUGACGAGCUUGUUCGCGUCGAUCGAGUGCAAUGCAACGUCGGGGGUAGGUUGGGUGCGGCUUUAUAAGGACACGUGCAGGGCGACACGGCGUACGCCGUACGCGACCUUUCUCCUGUUCGGAUCAGAUGCAUUCGUGACUCCGAACCGAAAAAAUUUCUGGUUCCGCCUCGCCGACCUUAACAAACAAUAAUCUCUCUUCCGGUACCUCUCGUACGGUCGCGGCGGUUUCACGCGAGCAGAGGGGUGGCAUAGCCGAUUCACUCUUGCGAGUUGAUCGCCGCCCGCCGGUCGCCGUCCAGCUUGGCGACGACGAAGCACAGGUGCUGGUCGUGGAAUGCCCAACCUCGACGCGGUCGCCCUUCUUGAAGCCGCUGCCCGCGACGAAUCUCCGUACCGAUGGCAGUUGAUCAACGUGGCCUUGGUGCUGCGGAACAAGUUCAGCCUCAGCGCCGCCGUGGCCUUCUCCGCGCCGCGCGCGUAGACGAGCACCGGCACCCCUGGGUACCUCGUCUUGUCGUGCCUCUUCUUCUUCGCAUCAGUGAUGACAAGGAUAGCUCGAUUCGAGCUUCAGAACGACGAGAAAAAGGUCGCCGCGCGAUGAACGCGUCAUGCGAGCGCCUGCUCGCUGUUCGUCCCCGUCUCCGGGAGCCGCGCGCUCUCGACGCGGCGGCCUUGGGGCAGCACCUCAGCUCCCGACGGGGCAAGGCUGUAAGCGGCAAGCGGCGACGCGCGAGGAGUCAGGAGGCUGCGGAAUGGCUCGUGGAUUCGUCGGAGAGCGACCCAUGGAUGCACCGUGGUACAGCGCGGGGCUCGCGGGUGGCGGCGCGACCUCGCUGGGGGCAGCAAUGCCUGUGGCCUCCAAUAUUUGCACAAGACCCGUUUGAAUACAAAUAUUUGUAAAUUAUCCCCUAACUUUACGUCCCGUCGUCCCCUGGUUUGGAUCGCGAUUCAUAAUCGCGAUCCAAAUAUUUACAAAUAGAGUACCGGUUAUUUACGGAUCACACCCUAGUUCGGAUCCACCCGUCCCGUCCGGCGAGCCGCCGCCGCCAACCGCCAUCCUCGAUGUAGGAAUCCGGAUUUCCCGUUCAACCCUCGGCUCCGCUGCCUACCAUGGCAAGGACAAGAUAGGAAAAAAUAUGGGGCCAGCGGUUCGUCGGCUUCCUAGCGGAGCGAGCAACAACGGCCACGAGCUUGACUUCACGUCGGAAGCUCGGCUAUGGCGGCUCGUCCCCGUUGCUUGUUUUGGAAUGUAAACUACAUUGUCAGGCCUUUGAACAUGGUGCUGGGUUAAUCCUCCCGUGGUAUUUUUUUUUUCUUGGAGUAAUUUUAUUCGGAGUGGUAGGAAUCCAACUCUGUUUGGGGCUGGACCAAAUCAUCGCUGAUCGACAAAAAGAUCUGCUGGAAGCGAACAAGCCAUCAUCAGGAAAAUAAGUUUUUGCAUCUUGAAGUCUUGGCAUACUUUAGCACUGAAUCCUUGAGGAAAUUCUGAUGAACUCUUCUGUGUCUGGGCUCUGGAUUCUUUGCCUCAGCGACUCCGCAUCUGCAUGUGCUUUGUGGUACUGCAAAAGGAAGGGUACUCUGAAGAUGUAACUGAAACUAGGAUUAGGAUCUGAUUCAAGUAUAAGACAUUACUAUCUCUGGACCACAGAAAGAACACGGGAACUAAUUAAUUAACUUCAGUAAGAAGUGAGCCUUGCUGUCGCCAGUGACUACUUUUAUCCCAUUCCAGGUAAAAUUUACUUACAUGGUUUUUUUUAUGAAACAGGAGGGGGAGGGGGUUCCCCUACUGAUUCUAUUAAAAUAAAAGCGAACCAAAGAAAACGAACCAGUACAGCAGUUUCAAGAAACAAAAAGGUGAGAAAAAAAUAAAGAAGAUUACAACAAGGCUUCUAGCCAUGUACACUACCAGAAAUUUUUUUUUUUACCGAGUGUCAAGUGUUUUGCCGAGUGUUUUUAUUCGGCACUCGGCAAAGAGCUCGACACUCGGCAAAGAGGCUCUUUGCCGAGUGCAUUUUUUAGACACUCGGCAAAGAAUCUCUUUGCCGAGUGCCUUUUUUCGACACUCGGCAAAGAGUCCAUUUGCCGAGUAUUUUUUUAGAACACUAGGUAAAGAUAAUUUUUCAAAUCAUAUUUUGAAGUAGUAAAUUAAUUCAAACAAAAAUAUUGUCAGCUACAAAGUUGUAUAACUCAUCAAGAUGCACAAUUUUUAUUUUGGUCAUUUCUUCAUUUGAUAAAAUAAAUAUAAAUUUGUUCACAAAACAUAUAUAUCUCUCUCGUAGUUUAUGAAACUAUGAGAGAGAGAUAUAAGAUUUAUGAACAAUAUUAGAAUUAUCAUGUUAUAUGAAGAAAUGACAAAAUAACCAAAAUAAACUUUGUAGAUCUUGAGAAGUUAUAAGAUUUUACAGUUGGCAACAUUUUAAUUUGAAGUCAUCUUGUCAACAAAAACUACAUAUGAAUUUAGAAAAUUUAAAAUUCGAAUUUUGCAAAUGACCUCGAAUGGAAAAAACCACCAAAAUUAAAGUUGUAGAUCUCAAAAAUUUAUGAAAGUUUGUAGUUGAUAACUUUUGAUUUGAAAUCAUUGUGUCAUAUUAAAAUACGUUUGAAGUUUUCAAAUUUAAAAUUCAAAUUUUGUAAACAAUCUCGGAUGAAGAAACUACCAAAAUAAAAGUUGUAGAUCUCAAAAAGUUAUGACACUUUGUAGUUAACAAUAUUUUCAUUUGAAUUUAUUUACUAUCUCAAACAAAUAAUUUACGCUCGGUUAAUUAUAAUAUGUGGAGAAUAAAAACGUAACGUUGACACAUUUGAUCCAAUGGUGCAGUGGGAGAGGAAGUUGUUUGUGUGCAGGAGGUCGUGAGUUUGAAAUCUAUCAUCGACAAUUUAUGAAAAAUUGCUGAAAUGGGUCAGUAGCUGGCUGUGCAUGCCUCCCCCAAUAAUUUUUUUCUUGUUUCUUUUUUUGCAUUUUUCUGAUUUACAUUUUGCCGAGUGCUUCUCUUUGCCAAGUGCUUUUUGUUGCCGAGUGCCCCAGGCACUCGGCAAAGAAGGUAAAUCCGGUAGUGAUAUUGACAUAUUUGCUUUGUGUCUCACUUUUGCUCUUACAAUAGUUAAGGCAAACUUUUUUUUAAAGUGUUCCCGGCAAUUAUCUGGAUGAGGAUGAAGGCCCUUGAAAAUGAGGUCGUUGUGUUGCAUCCAAAUGUACCAACUCAUUAAAAUUAUAACAUCCAUGAAGAAGGGAAUAGCAAGUUGAGCUCUGAACUGUUUAAGAGUUUGAAAAUGAUCACCAGGGUCACCAACCAAAAGAUUGAUAGAGGACCAGCAUUCUUGUGCUAAGGGACAGCCAAUGAAGAGGUAUUCUAAGCUUUCUUCAAUAUUCUAGUUACAGCACACAUAGCUGUAUGACAAUAAGAUCAUAUUUUUUCUCCUGAGGAGGCCUCUGGUGCUCAACCUAUCUUUGAGCAGAAGCCAAAAGAAAAUCUUAUGUUUAUUUUGACAGGCUGAAUUCCACACCCAUUUAAAAGCAGGAUGCACCAUCCUAUGUCCAAUGAGAUGGAGAUAGGCUCCGGAGAAGGAAAAGAGAGGGGACCCCCAAAUAUAAGACCACACAUCUGGUUCAGGUAAAUCCAGCAAAUAUGAAAGACUUUGAGCUAAGUCUAAAAGUUGUUGGAAGGCAACAGAUGACAAGGGAGGUCAAGUAGGGCUUCAGAACCAUGGAUCUUCUUGGCUGCCAGAAGGGAAACUCCGUUGUUUCUAGCAAAGGAGAAGAGUUCAGGGAAAUGCUGUUUAAGAACUCUCUUGUUUCAAAGGUCCUCCUAGAGUAGGCAGCUAGCAUCAUCUAGAGUAGUUACCAUGGCCAUCCCUUUAAAGGAGUCAAGGAGUUUGGUUAUCUCUCCACCAAAAAGAUCUUUUUCUGACUGGAAGGUGGAGAACCAGACUUCUAGAUAAGAUGGACCCAGGGAAUAUCAAACCUGUUAAAAAAUUUGUGCAUAUUCUUCAGCGGCAGAUUCUCAUUUUGUGCUCUCAACUUUAGAACACCUAGACCUCCUUCUUUCUUGGGUAGACAAACCAUUUCCCAAGCUGCUUUUGGUAUUAUUUUGGCACUCUCCUAAGAUAAUAUUGUUUAUAUUUGUCCACUGCUUGAUAACUGUUUUGUGCAACUGAAAAGUACUCAUAAGUACAUUGGAAGGGCUGAAAAAAUAGCAUUUGUAACCUCCAAUCGUCCAGCUUGGGAAAAAAAGGUAGAAGUACAGACAAAUCUUCUUUCACAUUUCUUACCUAGUGGAAGAAAAUCGAUAAUCUUGGGUUUUGUCGAACCAAAAGGUAAACCUAGGUAUGUGAAGGGCAGGGUGCCAACUUCACGGCCAAAAGAGUGAGUGAGGGAAGCUGAGGUCUGAUCUUUCAUAUUAAUUGGCACAAGCAAAGAUUUAGCAUAAUUGACUUUAAAACCAGUGGAAUCAGAGAAACACUGAAGCGGUUUUCAGAUGGCCAGCUGAGUGCUGCAUCCUUCCAUGAUGAUCAAGGUAUCAUCAGCAUGCUGAAGAAUUGAGAAGUCUUGUGAGUGUUGCAGUGGGAUUGGCAUAUGUAACUGUCCAAAAGACCUUGCUUGAUUCAGAAUACUCUGCAGAAGAUCAACUGCCAAAAUAAAAAGAAGUGGGGAGAGUGGAUCACCCCGCCUGACUCCUCUUCUUGCAACGAAACGUUUUACCCGGAACACCAUUCAAGAGAACUGAAGAGGUGCCAGAGGAGAGAAAAUGAGUUGCAUCCACUGUAACCAUUUGGGGCAAACCCUUUAUGCUCCAUAAUUUACUUAACAUGUUUAUAAGGUAAAUGCAUCCAGGACAUUGCUCCCUGUUUGUUCAAUGCAGUUAGGUCUAGAAUUGCAAGAUGCAGAACGGUCGCACAAGGGCUUGUAAAUGACAGGUGGGUGCGCGAUAUAUCUGGGGCUCUUACCGUGCAAGUUAUUCUGGAUUUUCUCCUUGUUUAGGAUGCAACCAGAGCGGUGCAACUAAGGCAGGGCACACAUGACAAGUUCUUAUGGAAAUGGACAAGUGAUCAGUGCUUCUCCACUACCUCUGUUUACCGAGCAUUCUUCGUGCGCUUCUCCUUGUUAAUGUCAAUGAUUUCAUUCCAGGCAGCCAUUUGUUGCGAUACCGUACAAUUCUUUGCGGCAUGGCCCCUACUUGCGUCCUGCUCGACCGCACUGUUACCUUCCGCGACCAUCCCCUAGAGCCAGACCCACCGCUCGCAGGAGAAGGAGCAGCGGGCGUGGUCGGCGGCACCACCCGGCGGCAAUCAUCAUCAGAGGAUUCAGAGCCGCUUCUAAGCGUUGAAGCCAUCGAAGCAGAAAUUGCCAGGUACAUGCGGGCCACGACGCCAGAUCUGCAGGUCGUCGACCCCCCGGGGGUAAGCUGCCUCACCAUCGUGCGGUCUCACCCGUCCCAUCCGAUCCCAAAAUACGGAUACGGACGGAACCUGGAGUCCGGCUUGGCCGUCGCCGCCGACAAGAACUUGGUCCUCAUCUACGUCGGCUCCUACCGCCCAAUCUCUUCGUGCGGGGGAUGCUACUUGCUCUUGGACACCGCAUCUUCCUCACUCUCCAGGAUCCCCGGUGUCCACCACAAGUCCGCUCCUUACAUGUGCGCCGGCGCCGGGGCCGUCAUCAUGGCACGCGAAGGUGGCGCCUUCGUCCUCGCCGAGCUGCUCUUCAGACUCACCCCGCCCGGGGCGCCUGCGUCCGGCAAGCUCUGGCUCUUGGCAGAGCAGCGAGUGGGUCUGCAAGGUUGGCCACCUCCCCGCCGAGCUGUGCUACACGUGGAGGCUUCACACGUCCUUCUCUGUCCAAACUAGCAGGAACCUCUUCUGUUGGGCACGGAUUGCUGCUCUGCGAUCUGGGACGCUAUGGCGAGGUCGUCGACUCGCCGGACUUGGGCAUGUCUUCUGUUCCGCUGCCCCAUAGCUGCUCCAUCGGCGAACACCACCACCGGCGGCUGAACCCGCAAGACUUCCGCACCAUGGCCUGCGUUGACGGCACCAUCAAGCUUCUCACGAUGGAGGGCUUCAUGGAAGGCAACCCAAUUGCGCUCGUUACCUUUGCCCUGGACCUGGAUGGGCCAUCCCUACCUGGACGAAAGACACGGUGCUGCGUCUGGACGAUCUCUGGGCAGAUAAGACACUUAUCUCCAAGGGUGUUCCGCGGAUUACGCCAUUGUUCCCGAUGCUGAGCACGCAGGAACAUGACGUCUUCUACCUUGUCAUUGGGGGUCGUGUGGAUGACGUGGAAGGCUACCAGAUUCAAAGAGUGCAGCUCCUGCUUUCUGUUGACACGCACAAAGCCAGGGUCAUCUUCGCCACCCAGGAAAAUUGCCCAAAAACAUUGCAGAGUUCGCGUUACAUCCUUGUCAUCAAUGCCUCCCAGUUGGUGAUCAAGAUCUCAACAGGUACAUACUUACACCACUGCGUAGAGCACAUACUCAGUUUUAUCAAUUCCAAUUGCAUUGUUUUUAUUACGCUUUUGCGUGGCUGCUCACGAUGAUUAAAUAUGAAUUCCUGUUUGUUUACAUCCAGUUAGAGUAAAAAAUUACUGACUUAUUAGGCCCACAAUGCUCCGUAUUACAUGAUGGCAUGACAGACAUAUGUGUGUUUAUUAGCAAUUAUAUAUCUUUUGUCUUAACAAAUGUCAUCUCUCGAGCAGCCUGCUCCCGUACAGGUUUUAGUGUUCAACCUAAUACUAAUCGCAUCACAUGAGGAAAAAGAUUUCUGCUUGCGUGUCUUUUCUUUGGUGGAGAAUUUGGUGUCAGUUACUCUUCACUUCUCAUUAAGAUUAGGCGACUGUUCCUUACAUGAAUACAAACAAGUGUCUCCAGUAAAUAUGUAGAUCUGAAUUCUGAUUGUCCCAAGCUAAGUAAAAUUUAACACUGAAUUCGAAGCUGUGAGAAGUGCAAGUGUUAGCAUACGCUCCUGUUUCAGUAGGUUAUCUUCAUGAAAUGCCUUGGAGAUGUCCAUAGCAUGAUGUCGGCAUUCCUAAUUAAUCUUAGAAAAUACUACACUGUUGAAAUGUUAGUGAUAAACUUCGAUAUCCAUAAUUGUCGUGGCUGUUAUUUCUUCCAGAGUCGUUCCAACUUUUAUUCUUGAAUGAAAGCGCUGUUUAUAUUUAUAUCUAUACUUGUGCUGCAACCUAUAUAUGUUAUUUUGUGCUGCAACCCACAUUUGUGAGAACAUCUUGAAGUUGGUAAUAAAGAGCUGUUUAUAUUUCGACAAGUAUGCCUGUUUCUGCUAGUGAGCGGUGGAAGCAGAUGGGAUAGGUGAAAAAAAAGAUGAAGUUUGAAUGACCGCCGCAACCGAAUCGAUCAUGUGAAGUUGAAGCAUUGGAUGAUCCAUCUCUUCGUUGUAUCAUGCGCAAUUAGCAUCACUACAUGGUCUUUCAUUCUUAGCUGCUGGUGGGGAGAGCACGGUUGAAUCUGUUCUGAUUUUACUAGGACCGACCUGGUCAGUAUUAUUGCUAACUUAUGAUCCGAUAUUAGUAGCUGUGUUGAAUGGCUAGUAGCAUGUAAUAUUCACCCGGUUGCUGUGUGGCACCCACUUUGGAUUCUUGUGCUUGUGGGGAUUAUCUAUGAACCAUGUACCAACACUGGUGGCCCUUUUAUCCUUGCUAUGCUGUUUUGAUGAUUUUCAUUACUAGCUGCUCAUUCGUCCUCCGGUAUCCACUUAAAGUUUGAUGCAUAUUUUGUUUCCCUGUUAUCCCUAGGUUAGUUCUAUUUUGCUCAUAUUGAUUAAAACAUAUCCUUGUGAUUAUCAAUAAUCAAUGGUAGAAUGUUUAUGAAUGUGAAAAUAGUAGUCCAGUAUUUCAGUGGGUAGCGCCCUUUCCCGAUUAAUUUACAAGUCAUCAUCUUUUUUUUGAAAGAUCCGGAAUCUUGCCGGCGUUAAUUAAUAAGAAGAGAAGCAGUUCAAGCGCCAGAGAUGCUUGAGUUUACAACCAUGGAGGUUCGAAAAACCUGCCGAGGUCGGAGCAUUAGAAAAGCUCCCAACAGAAACGUGAAAAAUAAAGGAAUUACUUGCUAAUAUACCCCCAACCAAUAAAGCUAUAUGCUUUGCCCCCGCAAAACAUCGGAGAUUUGGUGACUCCUUGAUCUCGUUCACCAACCUUGCCAGCGUCUUCUCCUUGUCGUCGUCAUCAUCCACGAAACUAAACACCAGAGUCUAGUAGGUGCUGCCUGCACAGCACCAAACUAGCACAGCACAACAUCCGCUGGCUGGUUGCUUGCCUCAGAUCUUGGCGACCUUGUCGGCGACCACGACCGGGUUGUUCCUGGCGAUCCGCUCGCGGCCGGCGCCCUUGUAGUCGAAGCCGCAGGCGUGCUUCUCCGCGUAGCGGUGUGCGCCGCAGAAGGUCUCGCCGCAGCAGCACGGGAACCCCAGCAGGCCAACCUUCUUGCGGCACGCCGCGCACCGGCUCGCCGCGGGCUUCGCGGGGGCCCCCGCGACCGCGCCAUCGGCACCAAUAACAUCAGGGGACGGCGCGACGGCGGUGGCAGACGUGAUGAUCCUGGCCUUCUUCUCCGGCGGCUCGCCGCGAGGUGCUGCGGGCGCGAUGGCGCUCGUCUUGAAGACGUCCUGCAUCUUCUUCCUCUCGUCGGUGGGCGCCGCGGUGGCGGUGGCGGUGGCGGCGGCGUGCUCGCGGUAGCACUUGGAGCACAUGCCGCCGGUGGCCGGGUUGCCGAAGAAGCCGCACCCGGUCGCGCACGGGGCCGCGGCGGCGGCGCCGAUCUCGUCGACGUCGACGCUCUUCCGCUUCUCCGCCAUGGUCGCUACCGUGUGGGGCGUCGUCGAGUGCGUGCUGUGGCCGCCGAACACGCCGUUCGUUGCGGAGCGAGACGAGCUUGUACGCGUCGAUCGAGCGCAAGCAAAGUCUUGUGUUUGGCUCCGGGCGUCGGGGGUGGUCUUAUAUAGACACGCAUGGCGACACGACGGAGGCGGUGCUGGUUCGGAGUGCACGCCGUACGCGACCUUUCUCCUGUUCGGAUCAGAUGCAUUCGCGAUUCCGUACCGAAAAAAAAA
rnacentral:lncRNA from 1 species